rnacentral:rRNA from 1 species
CUUGACAACUAUAAGAGGUCUAGCCUGCCCAGUGAUAAAUUCAACGGCCGCGGUAUCCUAACCGCGCGAAGGUAGCAUAAUCACUUGUUCUUUAAAUAGGGACUUGUAUCAACGGCAUCACGAGGGUUACACUGUCUCCCCCCUCCAAUCAGUGAAACUGAUCUCCCCGUGAAGAAGCGAGGAUGAACCAAUAAGACGAGAAGACCCCAUGGAGCUUUAAACCUCACAGCAACUCUAAUACCUAACUCCUCAUAAUUUAUAGAGCAGUGCACGUCGGUUUUAGGUUGGGGCGACCGCGGAGUAAAAAUCACCCUCCACGACGAAAAGAACUUAAUCUUUAUUUAAGAGCAACCACUCUAUAAAUUAGUAUACUAACGAACAAUGAUCCGAUAAUCGAUCAACGGACCA